GCUGGGCACGGUGGCGCACGCCUGUAAUCCCAGCUGCUAGGGAGGCUGAGGCAGGAGUAUCUCUAGUUCAGACGCAGACUCAGCAACUUAGGGAGGCCCUAAGCAACUCAGCGACACCCUGUCUCUA
rnacentral:sRNA from 1 species